AUGGAUACUUUCAAGCGGAUUAUGCCUCCCGCGUGUCAGAUCUAUCCUGACAUUGGUCACAGCAACAUCCUCUUCAUUAAGUGUCUCACUGCUACUUUUCUGCGAACAGACAAUAUCAUGUGCCGUGACAUCCUUGAAAUGCUCUAUUUUGUCUCUUGGGACAGCAUACUCAUUACAGAACUGGUACAAAUCUCUCCUUCGAACACGAAGGAUCAAAUCCCUAGAUUCCUUCAGUUCCGGGUCUGGAGCAGUCUCGAUGGUUUUUAAAAUGGUGUCAUCUAACUUCCAGUAUUGAGAAGGAUGCUCUAUAUGUGAUGAUAUGUGUAGAUAAUCAUUUGCUUUCACUAGUGCAUCUACAAUCAUAAGCUCUAUUGCCUUCACUUUAGCGUGAGUAUAAACAGUUCUGUGUAGAUCAGCUCGUGUGGCAAAUAACUUGUGGAUGGUUAAAUAAUCUUUGGCUCGAUAACAUAUCUCAUCUCCCAAUACUCUCAUAGUUUCCAUCAACCUCUCAAAUUGAAAAUUGCAUCCUACUGCACACGCACGGCUAUCUCGGACAAUGUAAUCAAACUUGUCAACAUCGACUCCAUUUCGACCAUUAGCCACAAUAUCAUAUAAGAACUGCUUCUCCCUUGAGCUUUUUGUCAACGUAAACUUGGAACUAGCAAGUAUCAUUUCCUUGACCCUUUUAAUGGUUCCAGAAUCAAUAUCAAUACGACGCUCAUCAACAAUGUGAUCAAUCAUGUCCACAGACAUUUGCUCAUGAGACCAGUCCAAUCCAUUGCAAACUUGAGGAAGAAACUCGCGUUCAAACAAGUGGCUAAAAGGUCCAUGUCCAAUAUCAUGUAGAAGACCUGCAAGUUUCACUGUCUGUAUAUCAAAGUGAUCAAUUCCAAGCUCCAUACCUUGGUGGGUUUUAAGCUUAUGGACAGCUUCAUUGGCAAGCCAAUACACUCCAAGGGAAUGCUCAAAUCUAGAAUGCACUGCUCCUGGAUAGACCAUGUGUGUCACACCUAGUUGUUUAAGAUCACGAAGCCUUUGAAAUUGUUCUGUGUCAAUGAACUUCAAGUAGAGCGGGUCGAUGUAGAUGUUGCCGUGAACGUUGUCAUGGAUUUGCUUAGAGAAUCUGAGAUCUUGAGAGGAAGCGAAGUCGAAAUUGGAAGAGAAACUAAGUUCUUCAUUUGAAAAAGCUCCCAUACUCACCCUUGGGCUCUCUACUUCACCACUCUUUUGAGGUGCCGAAAGGAGAGAGAAAGAGAGAGGAGAGCAGCUGGCGUAGAGUAGGAGGAAGAAUAUAUUUGAUUUGCA
rnacentral:misc_RNA from 1 species